rnacentral:rRNA from 1 species
UUAGAGUUUGAUCCUGGCUCAGGAUGAACGCUAGCGGCAGGCUUAACACAUGCAAGUCGAGGGGCAGCAUGUCCAGCAAUGGAUGAUGGCGACCGGCGGAAGGGUGCGUAACGCGUGAGCAACAUGCCCUAUACAGGGAGAUACACCAGGGAAACUUGGUCUAAUAUCCCAUAGCAUUCAUUGAAGGCAUCUUUAAUGAAUUAAAGCUUCGGUGGUAUAGGAUUGGCUCGCGUGACAUUAGCCAGAUGGUGAGGUAACGGCUCACCAUAGCAAUGAUGUCUAGGGGUUUUGAGAGGAAGGCCCCCCACACUGGGACUGAGACACGGCCCAGACUCCUACGGGAGGCAGCAGUGAGGAAUAUUGGACAAUGGAUGGAAAUCUGAUCCAGCCAUGCCGCGUGCAGGAAGACGGCCUUAUGGGUUGUAAACUGCUUUUAUACGGGAGCAAUAAGGGUUACGAGUAAUCCGAUGAGAGUACUGUAUGAAUAAGGAUCGGCUAACUCCGUGCCAGCAGCCGCGGUAAUACGGAGGAUCCGAGCGUUAUCCGGAAUUAUUGGGUUUAAAGGGUGCGUAGGCGGCCAUUUAAGUCAGCGGUGAAAUUUUGCAGCUUAACUGUAACAGUGCCGUUGAUACUGUUUGGCUAGGAUUUGGUUGUAGUGUGCGGAAUGUGUGGUGUAGCGGUGAAAUGCUUAGAUAUCACACAGAACACCGAUUGCGAAGGCAGCACACUAAGUCAUUAUUGACGCUGAGGCACGAAAGUGUGGGGAUCAAACAGGAUUAGAUACCCUGGUAGUCCACACUGUA